UCCGAUUCUGUGUCUCCCUCUCUCUCUGCCCCUCGCCCGUUCAUGCUCUGUCUCUCUCUGUCCCAAAAAUAAAUAAUAAACGUUGAAAAAAAAAUUAAAAAAAAAAAAAAAAAGAAAUAACCUGGCUUGGGGGGAACAAACUGUGAAUCCAUAUGUCCCUAAAUUCCAAAGUCACUCUUCCCUCCUCAUGUGAAGGAGAUAUGAUCAGUUCCGAUUCAUACAUGGGAAAACUGGGGCUUGGAGGUUAAGUAGUUUGCCCAAGGACACGGGUGAGUGGCAGAGCAGAACUCAAAUCAGAGUUUGUGUGAUUCUGAAACUCUCUCAACAGAGUGUGCUGUCCCACCUCUGUGCUUCUGAGAAUGUUCAAAGUCUAAAUGUUCCACAGAUCUGCCGGGUUAUCACUCUUCCCCUCAGCCAGCCAUGUGAUCAUAAACGUUCCUAUGAUAUGGGGUCGGCUCUCAAUUAGAGGAUGUAGUUGUUAGUUCCAGUUCCCAGCUGGCAAAACAACGGAGAACACGCUGGGAAAUGUGGGGAGUUUCCUACAGAUGGUCUCAGAAGAAGCUUUCAUAGAAACAUUCGUACUUUCGGAUAGUGGAGGAAACCUGUACUCAAAGCAAUCUCAUGAGGUGCAUAAUUGGCCAAGUGCUCCAGGGGUUCUAAAGGCUGCCUUCCUGUAGUCGGAAUAGACACAUUUAGCCUCUUACUGAAAUUGAAGGCUGCCACGCCGAUAACAAAUCUGAUUCUAACUCUCCCAUGUCACCGCAGCCCAAAGGUGCCUUUGUCUCCUAGGAGAAAGAGGUUGGAGGCAGGAGACACUGCUAAUUAUGGGAGCAAUUCCCAUGGAUACAGAGAAGAAUUGUCUAAGCUGGGGAGUCAAAGCUCUGAUCGAGAGGGUGCUGAGAGGAAAAAUGCCCCCAACAUUCUCAGAGGAAAUUCCAGAGUUGUCUAGGGACAUGCCUUCUCUGCAGGAAUGCCCCAUAUAUCUGGCAUUUGAAGAUCUGGAAACAGGUUUUCCUUUACCUUCCUAACUCAUGCACUAAGGAUCCCUGUAUUUGAGAAAUGGAA